GCUUACAGCCAUACUGCUUUGGAUGUGCUUGCUCUCAUUUAAUCUCAGAAGCUAAAUGGAGUUCGCCCAAUUAGUAUUUGGGAGCGGUAUGUC
rnacentral:rRNA from 1 species